rnacentral:rRNA from 1 species
GAUCUGUCUGGUUAAUUCCGAUAACGAACGAGACUCUCCUCUGCUAAGCCGGAUCUUGAAUUGCUGAGUUGCUCAUUGCCACGCUCUCUCGCGUUUUGUUUCGGUGUGCCUGGCGUUGUUUUUGCCGUGUCGUACCGUGUGCUCCUCUUAGGGGGUUGUGCGCGUGCGUGCAUUGGCGGGGCACGUUUUGGUGCGCUUGGGGCGGCGCGUUGUUGGGCGUGUGUCUUUGGCGCUCCAAGUCCGUCGGCUCACAACCCGCGAAAGUGGGUUGUGUGGUGCAAGUUCUUCUUAGAGAGAUUGACGGCUCUGAAGCCGUACGAGAAUGAGAGCAAUAACAGGUCUGUGAUGCCCUCAGAUGCCCUGGGCCGCACGCGCGCUACAAUGCGGACACAGCAGGUCUAGCCUGCUCCGAGAGGAGCGGGUAACCCUGUCAAAGUCCUGGGCGUGCUUGGGCCUGGGGCUUGCAAUUCUUUCCCACAAACAAGGAAUGCCUUGUAGUGGCGAGUCACUGAGCUCGCUGUGACUCAGUCCCUGCCCUUUGUACACACCGCCCGUCGCUACUACCGAUUGGGUGUACCAGUGAGAACCUUGGACUGGCGUCCGGUGCCUCGCGCACCUGGGUCUGACGGGAAGAGGUCCGAUACUGGUGCGCUCAGAGGAAGUAAAGAGUCAUGCA